UACGUAGGGGGCUAGCGUUGCUCGGAAUCACUGGGCGUAAAGCGCACGUAGGCGGCUUUUUAAGUCAGGUGUGAAAUCCUGGAGCUCAACUCCAGAACUGCCUUUGAUACUGAGGAUCUUGAGUCCGGGAGAGGUGAGUGGAACUGCGAGUGUAGAGGUGAAAUUCGUAGAUAUUCGCAAGAACACCAGUGGCGAAGGCGGCUCACUGGCCCGGUACUGACGCUGAGGCACGAAAGCGUGGGGAGCAAACAGG
rnacentral:rRNA from 1 species